AUUUGAACCCAAAUUGAAACAUAAGCAACUAAAAUUGCUGAAUGUUAGAAUAUUGUGUCAAACUGGUCGUUAUUACUGUGACUUAUAAAGUGUCGGGUUUAGUUCCAUGAUAGAAAAUCUAAAUCAUUG